rnacentral:misc_RNA from 1 species
UUUUAUAACUGAGCUAGGCUGCUGUAGGAGUUACCAUGAUCAUGUGUAGACGCUUAUUGAGUUGCUACUUGUAGGACUGUGAACGGUUCUCGGGGGUCUCGAACCGAGCUGAAGAACCGUAUUGAACCGAACUUAUUUUAAUACUUUGGUUCAAUUUUGGUUCUUUAGUAAGAAAUGAUCGGAGCCGUACUGAAACUGAAUCAAAACCGUAUCGAAACUAAACCGGAAUGGGAACAGGAACCGUACCGAAC